rnacentral:rRNA from 1 species
UUUGGCUAAGUUACUAAGGGCAUACGGUGGAUGCCUUGGCACAAAGAGGCGAUGAAGGACGCGGUUACCGGCGAUACGCCACGGUGAGGUGGAAGCAACCUAAUACCCGUGGAUUUCCGAAUGGGGCAACCCUUCUCGAGUAAUGUCGAGAAACUCUUAUCUGAAUCCAUAGGAUAAGAAGAGCCAACCUGGGGAAGUGAAACAUCUCAGUACCCGGAGGAAGAGAAAACAAAAGUGAUUUCCUGAGUAGUGGCGAGCGAAACGGAAAGAGCCUAAACCGAUUAACAUGCUAAAAGUCGUAACUGUUGUGUUAUCGGUGUUGUGGGGUGUUAUCGGACUGAAUUACGAAUAAGUCGAGAAGUCAAAAAUUAUAUUGUUAGUCGAAUGUUCUGGAAAGCUCAACUAUAAAGGGUGAUAGUCCCGUAGAUUAAAACAAUAUAACUUCUUGGAUAGCAUUCCCAAGUAGCACGGAAUAAGUGGAAGUCUGUGUGAAUCUAGCAGAACCAUCUGCUAAGGCUAAAUACUCCUUUGUGACCGAUAGUGCAUAAGUACCGUGAGGGAAAGGUGAAAAGAACUCCUAACAGGAGAGUGAAAUAGUACCUGAAACCGUAUGCUUACAAGCAGUUGGAGCCCCGAUUUAUCGGGAUGACAGCGUGCCUUCUGGAUAAUGAGCCUACGAGUUAGUCGUCUGUUGCAAGGUUAAUCCGCUAAGUGGAGAAGCCGUAGCGAAAGCGAGUCUGAAUAGGGCGUUUAAGUAACAGGCGCUAGACGCGAAACCGGGUGAUCUACCCUCGUCCAGGAUGAAGUGAGGGUAAAACCUCAUGGAGGUCCGAACUAAUGUGGGUUGAAAACCGCUUGGAUGAGGUGAGGGUAGGAGCGAAAGACCAAUCAAACUCGGUGAUAGCUCGUACUCCUCGAAAUAGCUUUAGGGCUAGCCUCGAGUAUAUAGUAUGCCGGAGGUAGAGCACUGAUUGGGCUAGGGCUGUCACAACGGUACCAAACCCAGACAAACUCCGAAUUCCGGUCAUAUGUUUCUCGGGAGUCAGGCAGCGGGGGAUAAGCUUCGUUGCCAAAAGGGAAACAACCCAGAUCAUCAACUAAGGCCCCAAAAUAGUAGUUAACAGAUAAAGGAUGUUAAGUUGCUCAGACAACUAGGAUGUUGGCUUAGAAGCAGCCAUUCAUUUAAAGAGUGCGUAAUAGCUCACUAGUCAAGCGACUUAGCGUCGACAAUUCUCGGGACUUAAACUACUUGCCGAAGUUAUGAAUCCGGCAUAAGCCGGGUGGUAGAGGAGCAUUCCAUUUGCAGCGAAGGUGUAGCGUGAGCUAUGCUGGAGCGAAUGGAAACGCAAAUGUAGGCAUAAGUAACGAUAAUGAAGAUGAAAAAUCUUCACGCCGAAAAUCUAAGGUUUCCUGAGCAAUGUUAGUCAUCUCAGGGUUAGUCGGAUCCUAAGCCGAGGCUGAAAGGCGUAGGCGAUGGGAAACAGGUGAAAAUUCCUGUACCUGGUAUAAAUCGUUCGACUAUAAGGAGUGACGCAGAAGUGAAAGAUCAGCCACCUGUUGGAUUAGGUGGUCUAAGUAUGUAGGUUUGAAGAGUAGGCAAAUCCGCUCUUCUGUAAGACCGAGAUACGAACGGGAGGGCUUGCCCACAAACUGAUCCUAAUCAGACUGCCGAGAAAAACUUCGUAUAGGAGAUUUAUAUCAGACCGUACCGCAAACCGACACAGGUAGAUGGGAUGAGUAUUCUAAGGCGCUCGAGUGAGCCGUGGUUAAGGAACUCGGCAAAUUAACCCCGUAAGUUCGCAAGAAGGGGUGCCUCUAGUAGGUGAGAUUGUACAAAUCAAGCUGAAUGAGGCCGCAGUGAAAUGGCCCAAGCGACUGUUUAACAAAAACACAUGUCUCUGCUAAGUCAAUUCAGACGAUGUAUAGGGACUGACACCUGCCCGGUGCUGGAAGGUUAAGGGAAGAGGUUAGCGCAAGCGAAGCUUUGAACCGAAGCCCCAGUAAACGGCGGCCGUAACUAUAACGGUCCUAAGGUAGCGAAAUUCCUUGUCGGGUAAGUUCCGACCUGCACGAAUGGUGUAACGAUUUGGGCACUGUCUCAACCAC